UGUGUGUGUGUGUGUGUGUGUGUGAGAGAGAGAGGGACAGCAGGUGAAUGUGUGUUGUGUCUGACCUCAGUGUGUUACCCUACUGUCCACCACAGUGAUCCAAAGUAUUUAUGGGUGUUUCUAU